UGGGGAAUAUUGGACAAUGGGCGAAAGCCUGAUCCAGCCAUGCCGCGUGUGUGAAGAAGGCCUUUUGGUUGUAAAGCACUUUAAGCGAGGAGGAGGCUACUUAGAUUAAUACUCUAGGAUAGUGGACGUUACUCGCAGAAUAAGCACCGGCUAACUCUGUGCCAGCAGCCGCGGUAAUACAGAGGGUGCGAGCGUUAAUCGGAUUUACUGGGCGUAAAGCGUGCGUAGGCGGCUUUUUAAGUCGGAUGUGAAAUCCCUGAGCUUAACUUAGGAAUUGCAUUCGAUACUGGGAAGCUAGAGUAUGGGAGAGGAUGGUAGAAUUCCAGGUGUAGCGGUGAAAUGCGUAGAGAUCUGGAGUAAUACCGAUGGCGAAGGCAGCCAUCUGGCCUAAUACUGACGCUGAGGUACGAAAGCAUGGGGAGCAAACAGG
rnacentral:rRNA from 1 species